rnacentral:rRNA from 1 species
ACGGGAACUUUCGCUGUAGCAAUACAGUGGAAGUUCUAGUGGCGAACGGGUGCGUAACACGUGGGCAAUCUGCCUUAAAGUGGGGGAUAGCUCGGCGAAAGCCGGAUUAAUACCGCAUGUGAUGAGAGUAGACAUCUAUUCGAAAUCAAAGGUGGCGCAAGCUACCGCUUUUAGAGGAGCCCGCGGCCUAUCAGCUAGUUGGUGAGGUAACGGCUCACCAAGGCGACGAUGCGUAGCCGACCUGAGAGGGUGAUCGGCCACACUGGGACUGAGACACGGCCCAGACUCCUACGGGAGGCAGCAGUAGGGAAUCUUCGGCAAUGGGCGAAAGCCUGACCGAGCAACGCCGCGUGAGCGAUGAAGGCCUUCGGGUCGUAAAGCUCUGUUGUUAGGGAAGAACACGUACGAGAGUAACUGCUCGUACCUUGACGGUACCUAACCAGAAAGCCACGGCUAACUACGUGCCAGCA